CGCGAAUAGCUCAUUACAACAGCCACCGUUUAUUAGAAUAUCGUUAUCCUACUUGGAUAACUGUGGCAAUUCUAGAGCUAAUACAUGCAAAAAAGCUCCGACCGUAAGGAACGAGCGCAUUUAUUAGAAUAAAAACCAAUCGGGUUUCGGCCCGUAAUUUGGUGAAUCUGAAUAACUUUGCCAAUCGCACAGUCCUAGUACUGGCGAUGUAUCUUUCAAGUGUCUGCCUUAUCAACCUUCGAUGGUAGGUUAUACGCCUACCAUGGUAGUAACGGGUAACGGAGAAUAAGGGUUCGACUCCGGAGAGGGAGCCUGAGAAACGGCUACCACAUCCAAGGAAGGCAGCAGGCGCGCAAAUUACCCACUUCCAGAACGGAGAGGUAGUGACGAAAAAUAACGAGACAGUCCUCUUCGAGGUCUGUCAUCGGGAUGGGUACAAUUUAAAUCCUUUAACGAGGAUCUAUUGGAGGGCAAGUCUGGUGCCAGCAGCCGCGGUAAUUCCAGCU
rnacentral:rRNA from 1 species